UUUGGUCGUUUUGGUAGAUGAACGCCCUAGAAACAGUUGGACGCGAUGCCGUAUCGUACAGGUUAUCAAAGGAAGCGAUGGCAGAAUCCGACAAGCACUUGUUAAAACUGCGAAGGGGGUUUUGCGUCGAUCAGCUGCCAGAUUGGUGGUAUUACAGGUUCAAAGCGUUAGUAAAACUGGAUCAGGUGACGGUGAUCAGUGUUACGGGGGGGAUAAUGUUACUGGCAGCACUGCCCGUCGCGAUGCACCCAUGGAUGACACAGGAGGGGUCGGAAUGGCGCAAACUGCCUAGUGUCAAAACUGAUUUCGCAUCUUCGCUCAAGUACGCCCGGUUCGAAUCAGUUCAACGGAAGUAAUAAAAAACGAAGCAAAAAUUUUCAUUUCCGGUAGAAAACGCUUUCGCUUCAGACGUAGCUAGAAGAGUAAAGUCGCGCAGUGUUUCGUAGUUGAAAAUUAGAUAGAUUAGAAACAAGACUCUGUUUGAAUUGGAUACCUGUUUUUUUCAGUGGCGAUCUGGAUCUAUUCGAAUCUAUAAAGUCAAACUAGCCGAAAACCGUAAGCUUGUAGAAUUUGCUGCUUUUUUCUAAUCUAACCUAUAAACACCUAACACAGGAAUACGCGUGGGAGAUCAGCGAUUCUGUAGGAAUCGAAUAAUCGAGUGUGUUGUAGACCGAUUGAUCUAAAAGCAUUGCAAAACAUAAACUAGUGUUUGUACUAGCUCUAAGGAAGUCGGUGCCCACUCCCAUCUCGGUUGACGGAACACAAGCUAUGCAAGCAGCAGCAGAAGCAAGGAGCUGUCAACGACGAGCGAAACCGCCACUAAAACACGUUCUACGGAAGACACUAGAGAACCAAAAACAAGAAACAAGAACGUUGCCAUCAAGUCGACCACCACAUCAGAUACAGCUGCGAACACGGUCACCACCACAACAACCGAAGAAAACAUCGAUCAGUGAUCAGCCUACUGAAGCCGGCGUACAAGCAGCAUUGCCUACACAACAACAAUCUUCUGAUUAGGCAAGUUAGCGGUAAAGGUGCAAAUCCGUCUGAGCGACAUUGACUGAUACAGGCGUGGGUCUAGAACGCAGUGGUAGUCUGUUACAUGGAGGUCACUACGAAAAACUCUACCGAAGCAACGAGACCGGGGGGUGCGGUAAAACCUCCUAUUGGGCUCGUAGUUAUUUGGGAUUCGGAAAUGUUUCCUUUUCUCAAACGUAGCAGUCAGUGUCCGCUGUCCUCGUUCUUUUAUUAGCCAGCUUUAGUUUGUACAUUAUGUUACAUGUAAGAUCUCUAGUUUUAUUGUUACUCCUAAAACUAGUGUAGAUCAAGUUUGAGUGUUUUGCCACAGGACCAGCAUAACAUAGAUGAUGGGACAAGAAAAUCUCAGAGACUUUUGCUCAUUAGUGAGCGUUCAGAUCACCUCUGGCAGGACUCGCUGCCGUUAUGUUUGAGCUUUUGGAUCUGGCGAGCAAAGAUGCUUGCGUUUGUUAGUUAUGUUGUAGUUGUAAAAAUACUAAGGUUUGCUUAAGUCGAUGACGUUUGAUCUGCUCUGUCUCUCUGCGACUUCUUGAGGAAGUGAGUCUAAGAGUUUUUUGUGAGCUGCCUGUCAGCGCUCACAAAAAACUCUGCGUCUGUGGUAAGGUUGUGUUACGUUAAGUUUUGUUAUCAUUCGUAUCGUCUGUAUUUGGAGUCCGAAUAGUUAAGAAACAUGUGUAGGAUUAAAAUUAAUCGAGUCGACUGAAACGCAUUGAAAAUAUUAGUUUGAGAUCCCCUGCCAAUUGCACCCUUGCGCCACUAUCAUGGUUGAUAGUUUGUCGUGCUCCUAUGCCAAACGACCAGUGGAGACAAACAAAAUGCGAAAUGAAGGCGACAACACUCACAACGGUACCGCGUAAAUAAUGGCUUAGCCUGAAACAAACCUCAAUCCCAAGAGAAAACGGUAUUGCAAAACAUCACCACCCUUUGAAAAUACACACACAUGAACACUCCUGUCUCUUUUGAUAAUACAAAGAGAAACAGAAAAACGAUCACCACUGAGAAGGCACAUCAGUUCGGUUCUGUCCACGGGAGAAGCCGUAUUCCCCUGCAAUAACGACUGUCCGUCGUCCACGGCCCGCAGAAAAGUUUGGUGAAAAUUAGUUUUCCACGCCAAAGUGCACUUUUACCGCAGGACACAGAAAAGAUCGCAACAGGUGCGCUGAAGUUCUUGGAUUAAUAAUAAGGUUGACGCCGUUUUCCGUGGAACAUAGAAUUACUAUCUUCCAUUUUGCAUCCGCAGUUUUGGACGCCACCGGGCGCGUGGCUUGAAUCAGCACAAUUGUGGUGCAGACGUGCCUGUGGCUCGACACAGUUGACCACACGAAGUGUAGAAGGUUCAUAAAACUCCUUUGGCCGUCGGAUUGAUUUCCAGCGAGUAUCGGAGUAUAAAUUCAGGUGAGUUGGAAAACAAACCACUCGUCAUGCGAAAUUCGACACAAAAUCUCACGACGCCAUUUUGUCGUUAGCUUUCAGCAAGCUUUCGUUCCUUGUACCGACUGAACGACACUUAUUGAGCCGACAGGCGGUUGCUAAUCGACAGGCCGAAAUUGCAAGCACAUCAAGGCAUAGUGGACAAUUUUCGCGGGACAGAACCAACGGCAUUCUGCAAGCCAUUUCACGAAGAACCCCAGAACGGGGUUUUUCUCAGGAGCUUCGAUCCGGUUUCGCUUUGGGGUUGUCAAGGCUCGUCAUCCCGGCCAAGUCGACGGUGCUCUCGCAUGCUGCAUGAAGUAGGCUCAAGGACACAUACGAGCCGCAGAGGAUCAGAGCCAUCCAGGUCCGUCCUGCAGGGCGAACAUUCUUCAUCGGCGAUCUUGUUGUGAUCGGCGAGCACGGCGCGUCGUUGGAAUCCACGACGAAUAACGACGCAGCGGAGCGGCUUACGACAUGGCGGGCAUGGUAGCAAGGUGCACACGUGAAGCAUAGAUGUGAGGUCGUGAGUAGAUGUUUAGUUUUUAAGAGAAGAUCAUGUGACAUUAAUCCAUAAGAAAGCUAGGCACAACAGAUAGGCACCGAAGAUUCGGCACAAGAGUCAUGCCAAAAAUACAAUGAUGAUACGAAAAACUUGAAACUUUUAUUUGUUGGUGAGGAGCUUCUAGUGUUUGCAUUUAGAUCCUUUUUGGUAGUCUUGCUCUACCGGCUACCGGGGAUUUCUCAACACCGGGUGUAAAUCAGCUACUUAAAAAUAGCAUCUGUAAACUUCCUGUGAAUUUGAGAAUUCUAUAACUUCAUUAUUUUUUUUAGGUCUUGUUAUUCAUUCUAAAUACAUUUCAUUUUC